UACGUAGGGUGCGAGCGUUGUCCGGAAUUACUGGGCGUAAAGAGCUCGUAGGUGGUUUGUCGCGUUGUUCGUGAAAACUCACAACUCAAUUGUGGGCGUGCGGGCGAUACGGGCAGACUGGAGUACUGCAGGGGAGACUGGAAUUCCUGGUGUAGCGGUGGAAUGCGCAGAUAUCAGGAAGAACACCCGUGGCUAAGGCGGCUCUCUAGUACGUGACUGACGCUGAGACGCGAAAGCGUGGGGAGCGAACAGG
rnacentral:rRNA from 1 species